GUUUCACUUUCAAACAGAUGUAAUUUACCGUAAAUAAUUGUAUCUUAAUCUCUAAAUUUAACUUUAAUCACAUACAGGAGGCUCUUGCAGGGUCUAGCAAGCUAUUAACAUAGCAGGGGAUAAGAAAAUCUUAAUUAAACAGAACUUGCAAUAAAGAAAGCCUAAAUAGGGCUCUCUUUACAGGAAGUGUUUAUGGAAGGCUGUGCAAGUCACAUGCAGGGAGGUGUGACUAGGGUUCAUAAACAAAGGGACUUAAUUCCUAAAUGGCAGAGGAUUGAGCAGUGAGGC